GAGCACGUAGGUGGGUUUGUAAGUCAGAUGUGAAAACUGGGGGCUCAACCCGCAGCCUGCAUCUGAAACUGCAAGACUUGAGUCUGGUAGAGGAAAGUGGAAUUCCUAGUGUAGCGGUGAAAUGCGCAGAUAUUGGGAGGAACACCAGUGGCGAAGGCGGCUUUCUGGGCCACGACUGACGCUGAGUGCGCGAAAGCUAGGGGAGCAAACAGGAUUAGAUACCCUGGUAGUCCUAGCCGUAAACGAUGGGCACUAAGUAGAGGGGUUUU
rnacentral:rRNA from 1 species